rnacentral:lncRNA from 1 species
AACAAUCAUGAAAAUCUAAACAGAUCUAAUCUCUCUUUCACAUUUUUGCUGCACAUAAUUACACACAAUGCAAUUCUAUAAGAAGAAGAAGAAGAAAAGUAACAAUAACAAUUUUAUAGUAUAACAUAGUACCCCUUUUUAUGUUACAAUCUUAUACAGAUAAUUAGCAUUAUGUGAAGAAUAACCUAGUUCUUUUCAUGCCAACACAAAAGCAUAGCUAUGCAACGACGAAGAAUGUAGAACUUUGCUCUUUGCUUCUUCACAAGGUGACUACACUUCUGACCAAAAGACUUGCAUGGAUCACAAGCUUCUUCUUGUUCUUCUUGUUGUUGCUGCUCAAUAUUUUUGUUUGUGUUGCUUUCUUUCAAUGCCAUGAAUAAUUGAAUGUGUGUGUAAAUGCUACUUAUUUUGACACCAUAUAGAAGUAAAUUUAAUGUAG